rnacentral:rRNA from 1 species
GUGGGGAAUAUUGGACAAUGGGCGCAAGCCUGAUCCAGCCAUGCCGCGUGAGUGAUGAAGGCCCUAGGGUUGUAAAGCUCUUUCACCGGUGAAGAUAAUGACGGUAACCGGAGAAGAAGCCCCGGCUAACUUCGUGCCAGCAGCCGCGGUAAUACGAAGGGGGCUAGCGUUGUUCGGAAUUACUGGGCGUAAAGCGCACGUAGGCGGAUAUUUAAGUUAGGGGUGAAAUCCCAGGGCUCAACCCUGGAACUGCCUCUAAUACUGGGUAUCUCGAGUCCGAGAGAGGUGGGUGGAAUUCCGAGUGUAGAGGUGAAAUUCGGAGAUAUUCGGAGGAACACCAGUGGCGAAGGCGGCUCACUGGCUCGGUACUGACGCUGAGGUGCGAAAGCGUGGGGAGCAAACAGGAUUAGAAACCCUAGUAGUCC